GAGGGUAAAGCUCAAGUGGUAGAGCACAUGCUUAAUAUGCACAAGGCCUUGGGUUCAAUCCCCAGUACCUCCU
rnacentral:tRNA from 1 species